rnacentral:rRNA from 1 species
UACGUAGGGGGCUAGCGUUGUCCGGAUUUAUUGGGCGUAAAGAGCUCGUAGGCGGCUUGUCGCGUCGACUGUGAAAACCCGCGGCUCAACUGGGGAGGGUCACGCGAUACUGAUCGACUCGAAGGCAGGAGAGGGAAGUGGAAUUCCCGGUGUAGUGGUGAAAUGCGUAGAUAUCGGGAGGAACACCAGUGGCGAAGGCGACUUCCUGGCCUGUUCUUGACGCUGAGGCGCGAAAGCUAGGGGAGCAAACGGG